rnacentral:lncRNA from 1 species
AAAAUGUCUCUUAUUGUCUCCCAAAACUGAGCCUAAACGACCAGUAAUUGCUAACCUUUUUCUUGAAAGUUUCAAGUCCCUCUCGUUUUCCCCCCAAAUCUAUGGACAAUAGUAAAAGAGAAAAUAUUCCGUUUCACCUUUUAACUAUAAGACACACCUCAAUGUAAAGAUUGUCUUAUUACCUAAAUUAAUUAAAAGUAUAAUUUUGAUGGCAAGUAAUCUCGUUACUCCGUCGGCCGUUGCUACUUCGGCGUCUUGGGUCAGCCAUUGUUACUCCGGCCAGGUAAACUUCGGCGUCUUGGGUCAGCCAUUGUUACUCCGGCCAGGUAAAUGUUACUCUUCUUAACCUUAAUUUUUUAUUUUUGUGGGGGGUUUUGUCGAUUCAGAUCGCGGAGAUUAUGUUACCCGUAAAGGAGAAACUGGGGAUGGAGUUUAAUUCAUAUGGGAUGGAGAGGUAAUUCUGAUUGUUGUUUUUGCUUUGUUGUACAGAGUGUAUGUGAACAUAAAUCAUAAGAUUGAAUUUUUCUAUUAUUAUGGUCAUCUUAUUUCCAGGCAGAAGUUUGCGGUUUCAGUCGAGCUGAUGAUGAAAAUCCUCCUGAAUUCCAGCUGACUAUUUUGGUCAUGGUGAGGUGCUCCUUGUCAUUUUGGUAUUAUUUUUGCCUUUCGAUUUUCUCUUGAUCCCAACUUCCCAAAUUUUGAAAUCUUUUGAAUUGACUAUCUUGUCCUGUUACGAUCUCUACUCCUCAGUGUUAUACUCUUUGUUGUGCAAAUAUUUAUAUGUCGCUUCAGAUUCUAGAGUUCAGUCAUUGCCUCUCUAUAAGUCUCUUUUUGGUCUCUAUUAGCAACACAGUCAUGUUUACUGCUUUUAGACUUCCAGUCGUAAGUGUUGUGAUUACAAGGUUCAAGAUUUAUGGCAGGUUUGGCAACAUCUACACAGCCUGCUGAGGUGAACGCACUAUCUAAGGUGCUGCCUCUUUCCAACCAUAGAACAGUUUUCUUUUUCCGUUGUUAUUUCAUGUUGUCUAGGGGAUUCUGCAUCUAAUUUUGUAGUUAUCUUCUAACUUUCUCUAAUGGCAGUUGACCUGCUUAGUGCUGCCUCAUUAGCAUAAUAACCUGCUCCGGCCUAAAUCAAUUUGGAACGCAGACAAAGAAAGAUAUGCAUGCGCACUUGUGGAGCACAUAUUGCACUUAGAGCCUAUUGUGGUAUCCUAUUUAUGCCUUCUGUAACCUAUUCGUUGACCUCCCAUUCUUUUUACUUUAUAUGUUGGAGUUUAAUCUCACCCCACUUUGUGGGAAUAUAAUAGGUAUGUUAUUGUAAUGGAGUUUAAUCUUCAUUAUAUUUCUGUCUUAGAGACAUACCACUGAUUCUCAACACUUGAGCAUUCCUUCUCCUUAUUAUUUAGUUGUAAGGCUAAAGGAAGAAGCAGUGAUUCAGGAACAUAAUCUGUUUGAAAUGUUUGCUUGGUGACGGAGGAGUGAAUGUUGUGAUGGCAUUAGCUUUUAUGGAUGCUUAUCCUUUCUAUUAACUAUACAGUACACAGUUAUUUAGAUUAAUUGGGUACCUUUUUAAAAAAUGGAAGUAUGAAUUGGUUUUGAAAUUUGAAAUGAAAUAUAUCUAAAUAGAAUGGAACUUAAGCUGUAGAAUGGUAUAUAUGAGCUAAACUAGCUGGAUUUGAGUAAGCCGAUUGAUUGAUAUAUAAUCUUUAUGGUUGUAUAGUUUAUAGAAAGAGUUUUCUACCCUGCAAAGGCAGGGAUAAGGCUAUAUCCUCUUGAGGUUGUCAAGUUAGCUAUGUCAUCCAAAUUUUUUUUUCAGCAAAGUUUGAGAGUCCUUUUCUGUUUUUAUAUUAGUUGUGCUGCAACACAUUCCCUUUUAGGUAAACACGCAUAAAGAGAACAGACAUUAAUACAUUAUUUAACUUGCAUACACUUUUAAUAUAAAAAAGUGUUGCACUAAUAUGCAAUUUUAUAUGCGGUAACAGCUGAUUUAUAUGAUUUGCAUGUUACCAAUCCAUGUCUAGUAUAAAAGACUAUUCAUAUUCACUUAGUGUAAUCUUUCUUUAUCCUGUCAGUGUAUACUAGUUAAACGCAAAAGUUAUAAAUGAUACAAAGAGUUUGUUUAUUGCAAGCGUGGAUUUCAUUAAAAGUAAAAGAGGAAACUUUAGAAUAUACCCCAUAGAGAACAACUUCAGACAACUCACUACCAGAUAUGAGACAAUGACACAUCAAGUAACAUAAGUUCCACAGAAACCUUACUACUUUAAUCCAUUGUUAACAAAAAGGACAACACAAACUCCACACCAUUAGAAACCUUAACUUCUUUAAUCGUCUUAAUUAGUGUCCUAUUAAUGCAUAAAAAAAUCCACCCACCUUCAUAUUAUCUUAAACAUUAUCAAACAGUUUCUAUAGGGCCUAAGUUGAUAGUCGUCUCCAUAGCUUUCAUUGCUUCAAACCUAGGCUCCUUAUCCUGGAAUUUGAGACUUGCAUACAACUUUAUAUAAUCUUCAAAUACAAAUUUUGGAUACUUCAGUUUGUUCUCUUCUUCUGCCUUCUCAAUCAACUCUGGUGCUGGAAAUAUGACAGCAUCACUUCCUGGAUUGUAAAAGGAAGCUAUCGACAUCCAAUUGCCAUCUUGUUGAGCAAUCACUCUGUGCUCAACACUCUUGUAUCUUCCAUUAGUAAUCACCUUUAAUAAUUCAAACAAAAUCAACUCAUCAAGUGAAUCUGAAGUGUAAAUAAGGCAGAUUACCUGAUAUUACACGUCAAAAUGAAUACAUACCUCGAGUUAAUCACCGAGGUUGAUGACAAUUGAGUGUUUCAUAGGAGGGACAUCAAUCCAUUGCCAUCUUUUAGCAAUUAGAGCCCACUAACUUUGUCAUCUUGGAAAAGCAAGAUGAUGCCACCAGCAUCAGUGUGAGUGUCUAAGCCUUUGAUCAAUUCCUGGGACAAGAAGGGUAGUUGCUAACUUUGGUUCCAAAAGUUGGACCCUUUAAGCCAUAAAAUGCUUUUUUCAAAUAACCUUUCUCUAGGCAAAGAUUCUCACACAGUAAGUCCAAAAGAUUUUCAGCUAGUUUCUCUAGCUUCAGUGCAAAUUCUUUCAUAACUUUCCUGUCAUGAAGUUAGCAGUAAUAAAAAGUUAGCAAAAUAACCAGAGCUACUAAUCAAGUCUAAGGAUAACCCAAUUUCUCUUAGUAUUCAGUAACAGUAUGUCCUGUCUAUGUAGAAGUGAAAGGUUGAACUGAUACAAAUCCCAGAUUAUUGGAGUUAGCUUAGCAUAUGUUCUGUUUAUGUCAAAAAUAUGUUUUAAAAAAAAUAAUAAUGAAAAGAGAUGUUAUAUAAAAGGAUAAAAUUGGAUCUUUUUUUUCCUUUUUACCUGUAUUCAUCAUCCAGUUUACUAGUAUUUGUAUGUUUUCUAAUCCAAAUAUUUCAUCUGAAUAGGCAAAAGAUAUAAGCUUGAGUCUCUUUUCAAUGCUAAAUAAAAUAAAAUAUUUAGUAUUGGAAUGAAAUAUAUCUGGUAGGAGUGGAAAGGGAACUGAAGAAUCGUAUAGCUGACAUCAACUAAUUUGGAUUUGAGUUAACUGAGUAAUUGAUAUGUAAUCUUUUAUGGGUGUAUAGUGUGUAAAAUACGUUAUGAUCUAGAUGGCUUUACUAUAUUUGUAUGUUUUAGUUCAAAUAUUUCAUCUGAAUAGGCAAAAGAUAUAAGCUUGGGUCUUCUUUUUAAAGUUAACAAGGCAAAAUAUUUAGUAUUGGAAUGAAAUAUAUAUGAUUAGAGUGAAGAAUGGUAUACCCAACCCCAACUAAUUAGAUUAGAGUUAGCUGAUUGAUUGAUAUAUAAUCUUUUAUGGGUGUAUAGUGUGUAGAAUGAGUUAAUGUUCUAAGUAACUUUACCGAUUUGGUCAUCUUUUUGGGACCUAACAUUGCUAGCAUCUCACCUGGAUAUACAGUACCUGUCACUCCAUUUAGUAGUCUUUUCUUUUGUGCUUGAUGGUCCUCCAUAAUACAUUACUCUAGUUUCUUGCCUAAUCUUGUAAGCAAUUUCUUUUGUACUUGAUUGUGUUGUUGUAUGUUGAAUGGUAUUACCUGUAUGUUGAAUAGUACUCAGGUUCCUAGUUUGAUAUUACCUGUAUGUUGAAUGGUACUCAGGUUCUUAGUUUGAUCAACUAAUUGAGUAGGUUGAAACUGUAGCGUGGAGUAGUUGUUGAUUGAUCUAUUUAUAUUUAUCAUGAUAUUUUUUAGUUGUACGCAGAUAUAAAUGUAAUAAGGAUUGAAAGUUUAUCUGAUUGAUUUUUAUGCUUUGCAUUUUUAUGUAGCCAAGUGAUGCGGCUAGUAGAACCAUUUUGCCCAUGGAUGCAAGGAGACCACGUGAUGAUAGUGAUCCUAAUGGCAGUCGUUGAUUUCGUUAUAAAUUGUCUUGGAUAUUCAAUUAUGAUGAUAUGAUUGUGUGGUUGGAGCAAAUCUUGGAAUAUUAAAGGUUUUGUGUUUAAAUUUGAUUUUGGAAUUUGAAGAUGCUAGUUAAUGUUGAAAAUUUGGAGUUUGAAGAUGCUAAUGUUGAAAAUUUAAUUUUGAAGUUUAAUGUGCAAUGUAUUUUUGAUAUGCCUAUGAAUUACAAUGUUUAAUUAUUCAUGUUUCAUUAAUGAUAUAUGAAUAGAAUAAUAUUGGAUUGCAG